GGAAUGUCUGCAUUGGCUCCUCCUGGCUUCACAGGCUGGUGGCACGGCAUGCCAGGAUGCUGGCUGGAAGGGUGCCCUUCAGCCUGGAGACACCUGCAGACCACCCUGGAUAUGACGGGAAGACAAGGCAGGUGCCCUGGACACAGCCCAGAGCCAGCACUGUGCAGAGGCCGUGCGUCCUGACAGUGCACGACUGACCAGAGGAGACAGCUGCCACCCCAUCCGCUCCGAGGCCCUCAGAUGUGGUGCCCACGCCCUGCAGACAGAGGCUGCUGGGUGCCCUCCUCCGAACGGCCUUAAUUUCAGUGCUCCUGCACAUUUUGCCCACCUUGUUUUGCCACUUCCAGUGAGUCUCAUGCAUAUUUACGUGACAAUUAUGCAAAUCCCAAGAUAAAAAUGCAUUAAGCGCCCAUUAUUUAGACUGGUCGAGUCUAUUACGUGGCAUAAUGAAAUUACUGCAUGAUGUCCAAUUUACCUCAACACUCGCUUCAACUGUCAGUAAGUUAUUAACCAAACACACCGAAAUCGUGCUCUAGGAUGCUUCCUUAGGAAGCCAGAAACUUCAAGCCAAACCUUCAUCAGCAAGGAAAAUGUUCCAGAACAGUCUUAACAAGGCACAGUGUGAGCAAAGUUUGGGCAAAGCAACUCAUGGCCACUGAUAUAAGUCUUUCCACAGGUUAAAAAAAAAUCCACUUAGUAAUUUCAAUAAGACAGGACACAG
rnacentral:lncRNA from 1 species